rnacentral:rRNA from 1 species
UGAGAGUAGUACAUCGAUGGGAGACCCCUUGGGAAGUCCUCGUGUUGCACCCAUGGGUGCGAUCAUACCGGCACUAAUGCACCGGAUCCCGUCAGAACU